GACGAACGCUGGCGGCGUGCCUAAUACAUGCAAGUCGAGCGGAACUGGGGGAGCUUGCUCCUUCCAGUUUAGCGGCGGACGGGUGAGUAACACGUGGGCAACCUGCCCUGCAGAUCGGGAUAACUCCGGGAAACCGGUGCUAAUACCGAAUAGUUUGGCGCCUCUCCUGAGGCGCUACGGAAAGACGGUUUCGGCUGUCACUGCCGGAUGGGCCCGCGGCGCAUUAGCUAGUUGGUGGGGUAACGGCCCACCAAGGCGACGAUGCGUAGCCGACCUGAGAGGGUGACCGGCCACACUGGGACUGAGACACGGCCCAGACUCCUACGGGAGGCAGCAGUAAGGAAUCUUCCGCAAUGGACGCAAGUCUGACGGAGCAACGCCGCGUGAGUGACGAAGGUUUUCGGAUCGUAAAACUCUGUUGUGAGGGAAGAACACGUACCAACUAACUAUUGGUACCUUGACGGUACCUCACCAGAAAGCCACGGCUAACUACGUGCCAGCCGCCGCCGUAA
rnacentral:rRNA from 1 species